CCCGGGGCAACGGCCACGCGUGUGUACAAUCAAACGUGUGUUGACAGCACGAUGGACAUCACAUGAUUAUGAUGACCUCAACCUGCUGCAGUCAUUCUUCUUUCAAACAUUAAAGAUUGAAGAUUUGUUCUGAGGACACUGUGUCCACGACGUUCUGUGACCUGCGAUCAUCAUGUGCACGAUUAAGUGCAGGAUCAUUCGUGUCAGACACAUCGUGUUGACCAACAGCAUGACCCAGCCCGCUUUCCUCCUAGCAUGGUUGCAAUAGAGCAGCUAAAGGCCAGUGCCUUGUUUUGACUGGUUCCAACUGGUUCUACUGGUUCUACUGUUCUUCAAACUCCAGGCACAUCGUCUCUGCUGUGUUCUUCUUACUGUUCUUUGCUUCCCUCAACAUUAAGUAUUGUCACACUGAAGUACUGCAGGCUCUCUGUAAAGAGAGAAAUAGAAAUAUCCUUCUCCAUUGUCCUCUCAUUAAAAGAAAAUAUA